rnacentral:rRNA from 1 species
GAUGAACGCUAGCGAUAGGCUUAACACAUGCAAGUCGAGGGGCAGCAUGGUCUUAGCUUGCUAAGACUGAUGGCGACCGGCGCACGGGUGCGUAACGCGUAUGCAACUUGCCUCACAGAGGGGGAUAACCCGUCGAAAGACGGACUAAUACCGCGUACACUUGGGAUAGGGCAUCCUGACCCAAGGAAAUGAAAUUCGCUGUGAGAUAGGCAUGCGUCCCAUUAGCUAGUUGGUGAGGUAACGGCUCACCAAGGCGACGAUGGGUAGGGGAACUGAGAGGGUGCACCCCCACACUGGUACUGAGACACGGACCAGACUCCUACGGGAGGCAGCAGUGAGGAAUAUUGGUCAAUGGGCGAGAGCCUGAACCAGCCAAGUCGCGUGAAGGAUGACUGUCUUAGGGAUUGUAACCUUCUUUUAUACGGGAAUAACAAGAGCCACGUGUGGCUCCCUGCAUGUACCGUAUGAAUAAGCAUCGGCUAACUCCGU